GUCCACCUCCCCCACUAUUUUCACCAAAAUCCGGCCUUGAUUUGCAUCUUUUUGCCUAGUUCUAAAAUUAGUCUAUAAUGGGAAUUGUCUAUUUACAUGAACACUAGAGACUUUUUAUUUGACUUCCAUUUAUGAAUAUUAAAGUCUAUAAAUAUUGUUAUUUGUUGUUAAAGGUGAUCUACAGUCCGUAUGUAAACAAAGCCUUUGUUUACAUUUUUGUGUCGAAAAUAUUGAGCUUUAUUCGACAACUAUUUAUAUUUUCAAGCUUCUAGAGUAUAAUAAAUGAUCAAGAAACAACAAUUAGGCUUUUCAAGAACUCAAAACAUAGUUAAACUGUUUGUAUCAUAAAAAGUGGGCUCAUUUGUGCACAUGCGCAGAUCGGACUGUAGAUCACCUUUAAGUUGUUUUGUGAUACCUUUUUAAAACUACUAAUGUUUUUUCAAACUGGUAAAUAUUUUCAAAGCCCCCCUUCUUUCGUAUCUCUGUAUUUUUUCAAAGCCCCCCCUUUCAGGUUUUGAAAAAUUUAAAGGCCCCCCCAGUUUCUCCUCAAUCCCCCCCUGUACAAUAAAUAAUGAGCGGUCCCUUAUUGAUGCUCUGUAAUAGUAAUAUAAUAAUAUUGUAUAUAUUUUUAAAUUAAACUUUUUUAAAUGUUGAAUAAAUCUAAUUUGUAAUGAAAAUUAAUAAUGCACAUAAGAACAUGUUUAAUAAAAUAAUAUAUAAUUAUUGUUUGGUGUGCUAGAUCCUUAAUUAACUAAUCCGUUGCCUGGUCAAACAAUAUCAUUCUAUUGCCAUGAAUUGCCAUCGGAUAUAACAAUGAUUCCAGUGACAAACGUAGAGCCAUAUACAGUUGGGUAUUUAUUAGUGCAGAUUUACUUUCCCCAUAAUGUGCACAGAGUACAUUGUGAGUAGACA